ACAGGGAAUCAGCUCAGUGCCAAAUCGGAAUCACUUGUGGUUCUGAAAUGUGGCUUGAAGGCAGUACCAGUGGCAUCGCGGACGAAAGUCUCUUGGAAAAGAGCGUCAUAGAGGGUGAGAAUCCCGUGAGUCGUUCGCCGUUUGUCACGUACGGUCUGCGUUCUAACGAGUCGCGUUCCUUGGGAUUGGAGCGUAAACGGGUGGUAAAUUUCAUCCAAAGCAAAAUAUAUACUCGAGACCGAUAGCACAAAAGUACCGUGAGGGAAAGGUGAAAAGAACUUUGAGAAGAGGGUUAAAUAGUGCCUGAAAUCGUUGAGAAGGAAGCGGAUGCCGCCGUUGCAUAUGCUGAUUGUAGGAUUGCUGCUCGCUCCUGUCUUCUGCUACUCAUUCACAGACCUGGUCGUGUUGAGCAGUUGUUUGGCAGAUGUUAGUGGUGUUUCCUACUCUCAGUCGUCAGCAUCACUGGCUGAGUGGAAAUAAUCCUUGGAUGCUAAUUGGUUCGCUAUCUGUGAAUUGGUUGCUUCCUUGCGAUACUCACUACUCGGUCAGUGAGGAAGUGCGUUUGCUGGUCAACGAGCUUUCUAACUGUCAUUACCCUGCGCUUUUCGAUUCGUCGAGUGGCCAGGAUGUGGCUUUGAGAUUGUUCGCACUUAGUAAUCGCGAUGCUGGCUUCCAACGGUUGCCUCCGGCCCGUCUUGAAACACGGACCAAGGAGUCUAACGUAUGUGCGAGUGUGUGAGUGGCAAACUUAUACGCGUAAUGAAAGUGAGGCCGUAUGGCCAUGUUGGGGUCACCAACAACCGACCUUGAUCUUCGGUGAAAGGUUUGAGUAUGAGCAUAUCCGUUAGGACCCGAAAGAUGGUGAACUAUGCCUGAGCAGGGUGAAGCCAGGGGAAACUCUGGUGGAGGCUCGUAGCGAUACUGACGUGCAAA
rnacentral:ncRNA from 1 species